UACGGAAGGUCCGGGCGUUAUCCGGAUUUAUUGGGUUUAAAGGGAGCGUAGGCCGGCUUUUAAGUCAGCUGUGAAAGUCCGCGGCUCAACCGUGGAAUUGCAGUUGAAACUGGAGGCCUUGAGUGCACACAGGGGUGCCGGAAUUCAUGGUGUAGCGGUGAAAUGCUUAGAUAUCAUGAAGAACUCCGAUCGCGAAGGCAGCGUACCGGCGCCGGACUGACGCUGAGGCACGAAAGCGUGGGGAGCAAACAGG
rnacentral:rRNA from 1 species